GACGAACGCUGGCGGCGUGCCUAAUACAUGCAAGUCGAGCGGACCAAAGGGAGCUUGCUCCUGGAGGUUAGCGGCGAACGGGUGAGUAACACGUGGGCAACCUGCCUGUAAGACUGGGAUAACAUCGAGAAAUCGGUGCUAAUACCGGAUAAUAAAAAGAACUGCAUGGUUCUUUUUUGAAAGAUGGUUUCGGCUAUCACUUACAGAUGGGCCCGCGGCGCAUUAGCUAGUUGGUGAGGUAACGGCUCACCAAGGCGACGAUGCGUAGCCGACCUGAGAGGGUGAUCGGCCACACUGGGACUGAGACACGGCCCAGACUCCUACGGGAGGCAGCAGUAGGGAAUCUUCCGCAAUGGACGAAAGUCUGACGGAGCAACGCCGCGUGAGUGAUGAAGGUUUUCGGAUCGUAAAACUCUAGUUGUUAGGGAAGAACAAGUGCCGUUCGAAAGGGCGGCACCUUGACGGUACCUAACGAGAAAGCCACGGCUAACUACGUGCCAGCAGCCGCGGU
rnacentral:rRNA from 1 species